CUUUACCGAAGGGUUGAUCAGACGCUUCCGUUAUAAGUUGAGAUUCGUCUGAGAAGAUUUCGACAAGAAAC
rnacentral:pre_miRNA from 1 species